UCCGUCUUCCCAUCGGGAACUGCCCCAUAAUCAUUUACGUUAAACACACCCCGUCCACUCAAAGGAAAUUCGCCGGAGGGCUCCGGCGCGAGAGAAUCAAAUCCACCGUCCGCAGAUUCAAGAGGCGUGUCCGGCGAGAAAGUGCUUGCAGAUACAGAAAGGGACAGAAGAAAAGAGAACAAAAAUGGUGAAAGCUUCAUGGUUCUUGAAAUUCUCGGAUGCAAGAAAUUGUGGAGGAUUGGCUAGUUAUAUAUUCUGAUGAAUUGGAUUAUUCACAUGGAGUUUCUUCCUCCUUACUUAUAGCUUGUUCGUUUCAGAACCUGAAAUUAAAAUUUCAAUAAGGGUUCUUCGGUUUGGCUUUUGAUUCUGUAAAUUCUGUAAGGAACAAUGAUCCGAAAUAGAAUUGCUACUCAAAAAGAUUUUUGAAUUAGAUUGAAUCUGAGAAGCAUCGAGCCACUGUAACAUGACUUAUGAAUCAGGCCAUGUUACAAAUUAAGCACAGAAGAAUAUCAGAAAAGUAAGCAAAAAAAAAAAAAAAAAAAAAAAGGAAGAAGAAGCUUGAACUGUAACCUGAAGGGCAUCAUUUGCAAGGGGGUGGAAAUUGAACUCCUCUGUAGCCUACUUUUGCAUUGGUACAAGUAGAAACAAAUGGCAAGGAUUUCUUUGGAGGGCCACUGUAUUUCAAAUUGAUGUUAAACAACUCUAUGUUUUGGCAUGGAAACCGCUUACUGCAUUUGAGAUGAACUGCUACUGAAGAGAUUGUGGAUCCUUUGACAUUAAUGAAAUGAACAUCGCUGAUUUUUACUCGUGAUGGCUGCAUAGCGUAAUCGAUUAAACAAGGUUAGUUGAUAAGAAGUUGCAUUGGAAGAAGUGGGGGGAGAUUGAGAAAUGGAAGACGAAAACGAACCGGCCUUUGGCAAUUAGUUUUUGAGCAGCUGUACUCUUGGUCUAUGAGGAUGGGGUUCUUGACGUCGAUCAUAUUGAUGUCUUGGAAUAGGAUGCCCGAGGCUGCACUCGGGGGUGAGUCUGGCCAUGUUUUGAUCCGAAGUCCAUUAUCUGUUUUUAUUAAUGUACAGUUCUUGAUGACGACACCGAGCACGUCCUCCUCAUUAUCAUAUUUUCCAAGGCUUCCAACACUGUCAUAGCAGACAUCAAAUUAGACAGAGUAGGAAGGCAGAGAAGCCUCUGUUGAUCGAACGAUGUGGGAGCUACCUGAUACCGUGCCCAGGACCGCAGGUUAUUUUGUUGAUGGUGACAUUCAUUGAUCCUCGACCCAGGGAGAUGCAAUCGUCACCAGUGGAAAUAACUGAUCUCGAUAUUUUCACUUUGUUGGAGCGGCUCAGAUGUAUGCCAUCAGUGUUGGGACUGUCGUCUGGCGCCGUUAUGUGUAGUUUUUUCAGCCGAACGUUCUCACUGUUCGUGAUGAACAUGUGAAACCCCUUGCUGUUGAUGGAACUGAUGCCUUUCAUGAAUACAUUUGUGAUGCCAUUGAAUUUCAAAUUCUAGGAAGAAAGGAAAAGGGAAACCACAAGAGUAUUUAAGAGACAGCCAUUGAAGUGAGUUCAUAGUAAGGCAGCCAGAGCCUAAGUACUUACAACAGGGAGCUUCUGGCAAGUGGGAUUCAUACCACAGUCGUUGUAUUUCCAGACAGCAUCACCUUGUCCAUCCAAAGUACCUCUGCCAGUGAUUAUCAAGCCAUUGAUCUUCUCAAACAAUAUCCAUUCAUUAGAGACGUAAUUGCUCAGGUCGAUGCCUCCUUUUAAGGUCGCAUCGAUUUGAACGACGAUAGGACUUGUCGAGGCGCAUGGCCCUGCAAACACUAUUUGAUUGAUCAAAAAAGUACCCCCAGGAAUAACUACUCUUGCAGCUCCCUUGGAGUGGCAUGCUGCAACCCAUGUCUUCAUAAAACUCUGCAAAAACCAGCCAACAAAACAUCAGGUUUAGCACCAAAACUGAGAACAUUAAACACGGUCUCCUUCCGAUGUCUAAUGUCCUUCCCGAAAUUGAUCUUUUGAAAGAGGUCAGGCGGGUUCGUCCCGACGAAGAAUUUGGCGUUAACUGCAACCAAUUCUACCAACAAUAGCCAGGUAAGAAGAGUGGCUUGUUUGAAAGCAGAUUUCAUUGAAACUUAUGAAAAAAGGUAUUGGGUAUGUUUAUUUUAGGAUCAAACAGCCUCCAAGGGGAGGCCAGAGAAGUAAAAGGAAAAGCUUGGUUUCUUCCCUCUGUGCUUGGUUAUUUUAUAGCAGUUUUGAAAGGGUGUCCGUGGUUGUCUUGUUUGUUGACAUGAAAAGGCCUAAAAAUAGUGGAGUUCCUUUAAUAUAGGAGGCAUUACCAACAUUUUGUUCGUUCUUAGCCCAAUUUGUCACCGGUUAAGAGAAGAACUCGGUGCCCAUUUCCAUGCCUCACCAGGUAUCAAAAACUACUUGUAUAUAUAGCUUGGUGACUCAAAUAUGCCUGGAAAAGGUACUUUUAAACUGCAUUUUAACCAUUUUUUAAGUUUGUCCACUACGAUUGUUUCGUUGUUUGAGUUCUGAAUUUUGGUUCGAUCUAAAUGAUAUUCUGUAUGAUUUGGGUUA